rnacentral:rRNA from 1 species
UAAGGCAUCGGAACGUACCCUUUUGUCUGGGAUAGCCUCGGGAAACUGGGUGUAAUACCGGAUGAUCUCUUCGGAGCAAAGGUCCGCCGCGAAAGGAGCGGCCGAUGUGAGGCUAGGUAGUUGGUGAGGUAACGGCUCACCAAGCCCAAGAUCUCUAGGGGGUGUGAGAGCAUGGCCCCCACCACUGGAACUGAGACACUGUCCAGACACCUACGGGUGGCUGCAGUCGAGAAUCUUCGGCAAUGGGCGCAAGCCUGACCGAGCGACGCUGCGUGCGGGAUGAAGGCCCUUGGGUUGUAAACCGCUGUCAGGGGGGAUGAAAGCUUCGGCUUGACAGAGCCCCAGAGGAAGCGCGGGCUAAGUUCGUGCCAGCAGCCGCGGUAAUACGAACUGCGCAAACGUUAUUCGGAGUCACUGGGCUUACAGGGUGCGUAGGCGGCCCACCAGGUCAGAUGUGAAAUCCCACAGCUCAACUGUGGAACGGCAUUUGAAACCGGCGGGCUUGAGUGAACUAGAGGUACACGGAACUUCAGGUGGAGCGGUGAAAUGUGUUGAGAUCUGAAGGAACACCAGAGGCGAAAGCGGUGUACUGGAGUUCGUCUGACGCUGAGGCACGAAA